UCCUUGUCGGGUAAGUUCCGACCUGCACGAAUGGCGUAACGAUGGCGGCGCUGUCUCCACCCGAGACUCAGUGAAAUUGAAAUCGCCGUGAAGAUGCGGUGUAUCCGCGGCUAGACGGAAAGACCCCGUGAACCUUUACUAUAGCUUCACAGUGAACUUUGAACAUGCUUGUGUAGGAUAGCUGGGAGGCUUUGAAACCAGGACGCCAGUUCUGGUGGAGCCAACCUUGAAAUACCAGCCUGGCAUGUUUGAGGUUCUAACUUGGUCCCCUUAUCGGGGAUGAGGACACUGUGUGGUGGGUAGUUUGACUGGGGCGGUCUCCUCCCAAAGCGUAACGGAGGAGCACAAAGGUGGGCUAAG
rnacentral:rRNA from 1 species